CCAAUAGCGUAUAUUAAAGUUGUUGCAGUUAAAAAGCUCGUAGUUGAAUUUCGGGGUCAGUAGGUCGGUCGUGCCACUGGUAUGAACUGGUUUUACUGAUUCCUCCCUCUUGAAGAACUGUAAUGCCAUUAAUUUGGUGUUGCAGGGAAUCAGGACUGUUACUUUGAAAAAAUUAGAGUGUUUAAAGCAGGCUUUAGCUUGAAUACAUUAGCAUGGAAUAAUGAAAUAGGACGUUUGAUCCUAUUUUGUUGGUUUCUAGGAUUGACGUAAUGAUUAAUAGGGAUAGUUGGGGGCAUUAGUAUUCAAUUGUCAGAGGUGAAAUUCUUGGAUUUAUUGAAGACUAACUACUGCGAAAGCAUUUGCCAAGGAUGUUUUCAUUAAUCAAAAACGAAAGUUAGGGGAUCGAAGACGAUCAGAUACCGUCGUAGUCUUAACCAUAAACUAUGCCGACUAGGGAUCGGAUGAUGUUAAUUUUUUAAUGACUCAUUCGGCGCCUUACG
rnacentral:rRNA from 1 species